UGGCUCAGAGGUGAAGAGCACUGACUACUGUUCCAGAGGGCCUGGGUUCAAUUCCCAG
rnacentral:tRNA from 1 species